GGGGGGAGUCGGCCAGGCUGCUGUCAUGUGUGGACUGUGCCCCUGGGACCGCCAGUGUCUGGGCACUGGCCCCUUUCACCAGGACAAGAAGCCAUCUGCCCCGCUUUCAUCGGGGUGAGGCGAGAAGGCCAGCAGCAGAUAUUUGAUCAUGAAAAAAACCUGUGAUAUGCCUGCCCGGCUAUCUUGAACUGGAUCAAUGGACUCUUAAAACCAAACAGUGUAACCUAAAUGCAAACAGUUCAAGUGAGGAAAGAUCUCAAAUCAACAGCCUAAAUCUCCAUGUAAAUACACUGGAAAAAUAAGAGCAAAAUGACCCUCAAGUAAGCAGAAGGAAGGAAAUGGUUAUAAAGAUCAGACCACGAUUCAAUGAAAUUUAAAAUGAAAAGACAAUAGAGAACAGCAGUGAAAUAAAAGCUGGUUCUUCAAAAAAAAAAAAAG